AGUUUGAUCCUGGCAACAGAUUGAACGCUGGCGGCAGGCUUAACACAUGCAAGUCGAGCGGGGAAAGGUAGCUUGCUACCUGACCUAGCGGCGGACGGGUGAGUAAUGCUUAGGAAUCUGCCUAUUAGUGGGGGACAACAUUCCGAAAGGAAUGCUAAUACCGCAUGCGCCCUACGGGGGAAAGCAGGGGAUCUUCGGACCUUGCGCUAAUAGAUGAGCCUAAGUCAGAUUAGCUAGUUGGUGGGGUAAAGGCCUACCAAGGCGACGAUCUGUAGCGGGUCUGAGAGGAUGAUCCGCCACACUGGGACUGAGACACGGCCCAGACUCCUACGGGAGGCAGCAGUGGGGAAUAUUGGACAAUGGGCGAAAGCCUGAUCCAGCCAUGCCGCGUGUGUGAAGAAGGCCUUUUGGUUGUAAAGCACUUUAAGCGAGGAGGAGGCUACCGAGAUUAAUACUCUUGGAUAGUGGACGUUACUCGCAGAAUAAGCACCGGCUAACUCUGUGCCAGCAGCCGCGGUAAUACAGAGGGUGCGAGCGUUAAUCGGAUUUACUGGGCGUAAAGCGUGCGUAGGCGGCUUUUUAAGUCGGAUGUGAAAUCCCUGAGCUUAACUUAGGAAUUGCGUUCGAUACUGGGAAGCUAGAGUAUGGGAGAGGAUGGUAGAAUUCCAGGUGUAGCGGUGAAAUGCGUAGAGAUCUGGAGGAAUACCGAUGGCGAAGGCAGCCAUCUGGCCUAAUACUGACGCUGAGGUACGAAAGCAUGGGGAGCAAACAGGAUUAGAUACCCUGGUAGUCCAUGCCGUAAACGAUGUCUACUAGCCGUUGGGGCCUUUGAGGCUUUAGUGGCGCAGCUAACGCGAUAAGUAGACCGCCUGGGGAGUACGGUCGCAAGACUAAAACUCAAAUGAAUUGACGG
rnacentral:rRNA from 1 species